UACGUAGGGCGCAAGCGUUGUCCGGAAUUAUUGGGCGUAAAGAGCUCGUAGGCGGCUUGUCACGUCGGAUGUGAAAGCCCGAGGCUUAACCUCGGGUCUGCAUUCGAUACGGGCUAGCUAGAGUGUGGUAGGGGAGAUCGGAAUUCCUGGUGUAGCGGUGGAAUGCGCAGAUAUCAGGAGGAACACCGAUGGCGAAGGCAGGUCUCUGGGCACUUACUGACGCUGAGGAGCGAAAGCGUGGGGAGCGAACAGG
rnacentral:rRNA from 1 species